UUCGGUUAAGUUAUGAAGGGCGCACGGUGGAUGCCUUGGCACUAGGAGCCGACGAAGGACGGGACUAACACCGAUAUGCUUUGGGGAGCUGUAAGUGAGCUUUGAUCCAGAGAUUUCCGAAUGGGGGAACCCAUUGUUCGUAAUGGAACAAUAUCCUUACUUGAAUACAUAGAGUAUGGAAGGCAGAYCCAGGGAACUGAAACAUCUAAGUACCUGGAGGAAGAGAAAGCAAUUGCGAUUCCCUGAGUAGCGGCGAGCGAAACGGGAURUAGCCCAAACCAAGAGGCUUGCCUCUUGGGGUUGUAGGACACUCUAUACGGAGUUACAAAGGAAUGAAGUAGACGAAGAAGUCUGGAAAGGCUCGUCAAAGAAGGUAACAACCCUGUAGUUGAAACUUCAUUCCCUCUUGAGUGGAUCCUGAGUACGGCGGGACACGUGAAAUCCCGUYGGAAGCUGGGAGGACCAUC
rnacentral:rRNA from 1 species